UCGGGAAUUUUGGGCAAUGGGGGAAACCCUGACCCAGCAACGCCGCGUGAAGGAUGAAGUAUUUCGGUAUGUAAACUUCGAAAGAAUAGGAAGAAUAAAUGACGGUACUAUUUAUAAGGUCCGGCUAACUACGUGCCAGCAGCCGCGGUAAUACGAAGGUGGCAAGCGUUGUUCGGAUUUACUGGGCGUACAGGGAGCGUAGGCGGUUGGGUAAGCCUUUCGUGAAAUCUCCGGGCCUAACCCGGAAAGUGCGGAGGGGACUGCUCGGCUAGAGGAUGGGAGAGGGGCGCGGAAUUCCCGGUGUAGCGGUGAAAUGCGUAGAGAUCGGGAGGAAGGCCGGUGGCGAAGGCGGCGCUCUGGAACAUAUCUGACGCUGAGGCUCGAAAGCGUGGGGAGCAAACAGGAUUAGAUACCCCAGUAGUCCCUGAGCGGGCUGGCAAGGCGCAU
rnacentral:rRNA from 1 species